UCGCCAUUUUAAAAAAUAUUGCAUCAUUUAUUAAAAACAAUCCAUCAAAAUGCUGUUUAAUAGUCGUAUUUAGAAAAGUUACUCGUCUGUAGCAGUCUGUUACUCGUCGUAGUCGUCUGUUGCUAAUCUAUACUCGUCUGUCACUCGGGUGUAGUUUUAGAAUAGAUCUUCAAAUUAUAACAUAAGGCGAUUUCUAAAGGUUGUAAAAUUGUGAAUUGGGUAGC